rnacentral:lncRNA from 1 species
CAGAGGUUUUUAUGAAAUACUUCUUCCAUUAGACAGUGUUUGUUCUACUUUCUCAUUAUUGUAUCAUCCCACUGACCUUGAGACAGGUGAAUACGGAAUGACCAAAAUGAGACAGAGACAACACUAUCUGUGGGUCAAGAUAACAUUAUUGCAGAAAGAUAAAUACCAUUCUUUAUUCACGAUGCCUUCAUAAUUAUUAAUGGUCUGGUCAAAGAUAAAUUCAAGGUGAUCAUAGGUCUAGUCAUCUACCUGUGCCUCUCAUGGGGUCAUGAACUAGGGGAGAAGCCAUUGUGCAUGAGAGAGUGCCACAAUUUUCAGAGACCUGGAGACAUAGUAAAAGAAAAUGACCUGCUCCUGACCAUUGGAGCAGCCAUCUACAUGACUUGAGCAUAUGCAGAAUAAAUCACACAAUCACAAAUUAUGCUGAGUUGGA